AUGGCCGCGCCGAUGAUUCAGUCAAAGCCAGUCAAAUGAUUAGCCAAGCGGGAGCUGCACGCUGCUAAGGUAGCUACUUGGUAGCUAAGGCAGCACAUGCACGCAGUUAUCGCGGUUAUCGCGUUUUAACUUCUAUGGUUCGAAGUUUCGAAGCUUGAAGAGCGAGCAGAAGGGUGGGCACGCCUUUUCGUGUCCUGCCAGAACCCGGAGCGUGCUGCUCAGCUGUUAACAGAUAGAAGGGGUGGAAUCUAGCACAGGAAGGUGUGAGGUUGGCCAUCUGCUACCGUGAUGUCCUUGAUUCAGUGCUCGGCAAUCAUGCUCAACAUUGCACGCCUGCUGAAUACCAAAUCAUGCACAGCUAUGCGAAAGUUCAGCGUCCUCGCUGCAAGAACCAGCCAGCUGAAGAAAGCUUCUACUCAACCUCUUACAGCAGAAACUCCAUUGCAAGUUGCAGUGAGGACAUUUAAAGACUUGGAUGUUCUUACUAAACGAUGCAAAGAUUGCUACUUCAAGAAAGGAGAUGAUCGUUGGUAUGUCCUGUGCAAGACGCAUGGAAGGCACAAGCAGAGGCAGCGUCUACCUGAUGAGCGUCACUUCUGGAUAGUUACUCACAAGACACAUGGCCCAAGAAAAAACUUUUAGAUUGACAAAGCAAUGUAACUACAUUUGAAUUAAACCUGAUAUUUGCUUGAAGUAUUACAA
rnacentral:lncRNA from 1 species